rnacentral:rRNA from 1 species
CCAAGACGAUGAUGUGUAGCUGGACUGAGAGGUUGAACAGCCACAUUGGGACUGAGACACGGCCCAAACUCCUACGGGAGGCAGCAGUAAGGAAUUUUUGGCAAUGGAGGAAACUCUGACCGAGCGACGCCGCAUGAACAAUGAAGUACUUCGGUAUGUAAAGUUCUUUUAUUGAAAAAGAAAAAAUAGUGGAAAAACUAUCUUGACAUUAUUCAAUGAAUAAGCCCCGGCUAAUUAUGUGCCAGCAGCCGCGGUAAUACAUAAGGGGCGAGCGUUAUCCGGAAUUAUUGGGCGUAAAGGGUGCGUAGGCGGUUUGAUAAGUCUAUAGUUUAAUUGCAGUGCUUAACGCUGUACCGCUAUAGAAACUGUCUGACUAGAGUUAGAUAGAGGCAAGCGGAAUUCCAUGUGUAGCGGUAAAAUGCGUAAAUAUAUGGAGGAACCCCAGAGGCGUAGGCGGCUUGCUGGGUCUUAACUGACGCUGAGGCACGAAAGCGUGGGGAGCAAACAGGAUUAGAUACCCCGGUAGUCCACGCCGUAAACGAUGAGUACUAAGUGUCGGGUUUUGGCUCGGUACUGAAGUUAACACAUUAAGUACUCCGCCUGAGUAGUACGUACGCAAGUAUGAAACUUAAAGGAAUUGACGGGACCCCGCACAAGCGGUGGAUCAUGUUGUUUAAUUCGAAGAUACACGAAAAACCUUACCAGGUCUUGACAUAAUUUUGCGACAUUAUAGAAAUAUAAUGAAGGUUAUCAGAAUUACAGGUGGUGCAUGGUUGUCGUCAGCUCGUGUCGUGAGAUGUUAGGUUAAGUCCUAAAACGAGCGCAACCCUUGUCGUUAGUUGCGGCCACAUAAUGGUGAGCACUUUAGCGAGACUGCCAAUGAAAAAUUGGAGGAAGGUGAGGAUUACGUCAAAUCAUCAUGCCCCUUAUGAUCUGGGCUACAAACGUGAUACAAUGGCUUUUACAAAGAGUAGCUACAACGUGAGUUUUUAGCCAAUCUCAAAAAAACAGUCUCAGUUCGGAUUGAA